rnacentral:rRNA from 1 species
UACGGGGGGGGCAAGCGUUGUUCGGAAUUACUGGGCGUAAAGGGCUCGUAGGUGGCCAACUAAGUCGGACGUGAAAUCCCUCGGCUUAACCGGGGAACUGCAUUUGUGACUGCAUCGCUGGAGUGCGGCAGAGGGGGAUGGAAUUCCGCGUGUAGCAGUGAAAUGCGUAGAUAUGCGGAGGAACACCGAUGGCGAAGGCAAUCCCCUGGGCCUGCACUGACGCUCAUGCACGAAAGCGUGGGGAGCAAACAGG